GGCGUCUCCUUCAAGGCCGCUUCCACCUUCUCUUCUUGAUUCAGUCUAUAGAAUUAAAAAAAAUGUUCCACGUUCAUGAUCCAACCAUAGGGAUUAUUCCCAUCGAACAUAGGUUAAGAAGAAAUUAAGAAAAUAAAUUUGAAGAACAAAAAUAGAAAAAGGCAAUAGAACAGUUGUAUCGGUAACCCCCCAAGCUUCAAGGUUGCAAACACACUUGGUCCCUCCUUAAUAGUUGGUGUGAAACAUACGUGCGUAUUUUCUUCUUUGGUUUUCAUUGGCAUUAUGUUGUGGAAGUAAAUAUAAUAUGGA